rnacentral:rRNA from 1 species
GAUGAACGUUGGCGGCGUGCCUAAUACAUGCAAGUCGAACGGAGAUUGUAGCAAUACGGUCUCAGUGGCGAACGGGUGAGUAACGCGUUGGUGACCUGCCCCGAAGUGUGGAAUAACAGAUCGAAAGAGCUGCUAAUACCGCAUAAUAUCCAGGAGAUUAGAUGCUUCUGGAUUAAAGGAUUUAUCCGCUUCGGGAGGGGCCUGCGUCCCAUCAGCUAGUUGGUAAGGUAAAGGCUUACCAAGGCGAUGACGGGUAGGGGACCUGAGAGGGUGGCCCCCCACAAUGGAACUGAAACACGGUCCAUACACCUACGGGUGGCAGCAGUAGGGAAUAUUAGUAAUGGGCGAAAGCCUGAACUAGCAACGCCGCGUGUGCGAAGAAGGCCUUCGGGUCGUAAAGCACUUUUUGAGAGGAUGAGGAAGGACGGUACUCUCAGAAUAAGUCUCGGCUAACUACGUG